rnacentral:rRNA from 1 species
UCUGGAGACAGGUGGCUGCAUGGCUGUCGUCAGCUCGUGUCGUGAGAUGUUGGGUUAAGUCCCGCAACGAGCGCAACCCUUGCCUUUAGUUGCCAGCAGUUCGGCUGGGCACUCUAAAGGGACUGCCGGUGUUAAACCGGAGGAAGGUGGGGGAUGACGUCAAGUCCUCAUGGCCUUUAUGACCAGGGCUACACACGUACUACAAUGGCCGAUACAAAGGGCAGCGACACUGCGAGGUGAAGCCAAUCCCGUAAAAUCGGUCUCAGUCCGGAUUGGAGUCUGCAACUCGACUCCAUGAAGUUGGAAUCGCUAGUAAUCGUGGAUCAGCAUGCCACGGUGAAUACGUUCCCGGGCCUU